rnacentral:rRNA from 1 species
UACGUAGGGGGCAAGCGUUGUCCGGAUUUAUUGGGCGUAAAGAGCGUGUAGGCGGCUUUACAGGUCCGUUGUGAAAACUCGAGGCUCAACCUCGAGACGCCGGUGGAAACCGUAAAGCUAGAGUCCGGAAGAGGAGAGUGGAAUUCCUGGUGUAGCGGUGAAAUGCGCAGAUAUCAGGAGGAACACCGAUUGCGAAGGCAGCUCGCUGGGACGUAACUGACGCUGAGACGCGAAAGCGUGGGGAGCAAACAGG